AUGGCUUCAAAACAUGUGCGUAACAGCCUCGAUGAUUUAAUUGUCAGCGGAAUAAACAAUGCUCCCGCGAUUGGCUCGAUUGAAUGGAUAGGUGUGGGAAUGGGAUCCACCUUAUGUUUCCAGAAAAACGGAAAGACAUUGGGACUGGAUCGAAUGUGGACUAAAUGUAUUUUAUCAGUUGGAAUGGUUUUGCUUUUAAUGCAGUCUGUCCUUGCUGCUGAUGAUGAAGGGCACUAUAACGGGUCAUCAGGACAUGCAGCUCUGCCUCAGGACCCAGCUGUGCCCUCUAACCUCUCUGCCAGGGAUACGCCAGUGGAGGAUUGGCCCCUGGGCCCUCUAGCCGUGCCCACAGACCCAUCAGGGGCGACAGCAGAGAACACCAGAGAGCAGCCAGGGUUCUCCUCUGUACUGACCCUGCUGGCUAGCUCAGACCAAGAGCCACAGGCCCCAGUGCAACCAUCAGUACUAGCUAAUGCCUCCUCAGCCUCCUCCUCAGCCAUCAACAAUGACAAUCAAACAGCAGGAACAACAGACCCUUUUUCGUUAGCCCCUGUAGCCAACAGCACCUCAAACACCAGCUCAGCUCAGUUCCACAUCAUCCUGCCCCAUCCCCUCCAUCGUCUACCUCCGAUGCCUGCUGCCUCUCCCGGUCUGACAUCAUCCUCACAAGGAGGCGGUCAGCAGUUUGCCUGCGAACCCAGAUUUACCAACAGUCCCAGUGUCCUCUCUGGCCACCCUGGGGGAGAGCGACUCCACCCUCCCAGACAAUGUGACUAG
rnacentral:lncRNA from 8 species